rnacentral:rRNA from 1 species
UACGGAGGGGGCUAGCGUUAUUCGGAAUUACUGGGCGUAAAGCGCACGUAGGCGGACUGGAAAGUUGGGGGUGAAAGCCCAGGGCUCAACCCUGGAACUGCCUUCAAAACUCCCAGUCUUGAGGUCGAGAGAGGUGAGUGGAAUUCCGAGUGUAGAGGUGAAAUUCGUAGAUAUUCGGAGGAACACCAGUGGCGAAGGCGGCUCACUGGCUCGAUACUGACGCUGAGGUGCGAAAAGCGUGGGGAGCAAACAGG